rnacentral:snRNA from 1 species
GCAAAUUCAAGCCUAAUGACCU